rnacentral:rRNA from 1 species
GACGAACGCUGGCGGCGUGCUUAACACAUGCAAGUCGAACGGAAAGGCCCCUUUGGGGGUCCUCGAGUGGCGCACGGGUGAGUAACACGUGAGUAACCUGCCCUUGACUUCGGGAUAACUUCAGGAAACUGGGGCUAAUACCGGAUAGGAAUCCUUGCUGCAUGGUGGGGGUUGGAAAGCUUCGGCGGUUUUGGAUGGACUCGCGGCUUAUCAGCUUGUUGGUGGGGUAGUGGCUUACCAAGGCUUUGACGGGUAGCCGGCCUGAGAGGGCGACCGGCCACAUUGGGACUGAGAUUCGGCCCAGACUCCUACGGGAGGCAGCAGUGGGGAAUAUUGCACAAUGGGCGGAAGCCUGAUGCAGCAACGCCGCGUGCGGGAUGACGGCCUUCGGGUUGUAAACCGCUUUCAGCAGGGGCGAAGCUUUUGUGACGGUACCUGCAGAAGAAGCACCGGCUAACUACGUG